UGGGUCGUGUGACGGUCCUUGAAGGAUUGA
rnacentral:piRNA from 1 species